rnacentral:rRNA from 1 species
UACGUAGGGCGCAAGCGUUUGUCCGGAAUUAUUGGGCGUAAAGAGCUCGUAGGCGGCUUGUCGCGUUCGGGGGUGAAAGCCUGUGGCUACAACCACGAGAAUUGCCCUUCGAUACUGUUUGGCUUGAGUUUGGUAGAGGUUGGUGGAACUGCGAGGUGUAGGAGGUGAAAUUCGUAGAUAUUCGCAAGAACACCAGUGGCGAAGAACGGGCCCAAACUGGGACCAAACACUGACGCUUGAGGGCGCGAAAAGCGUGGGG